rnacentral:misc_RNA from 1 species
GUCAAGAUGUUCUUUUUGGGGUCUGGUCGAGAAAGAGCCAGAAUCAUAGGCUUCCGCGGGUUGGUAAAAAACCUCAUUAUCUCAGGCCAAAUGGGCGGGUCUGUAGAAGAAGCUGAAUGAUCUUCAUUUCCUUCUACUUCACCAUCCAGAUCACCUUCAUGUACAACAAUAUGGUUGAAUUCCAUUCCUGGAGGAAUUACAGCCAUCCGAGGCAUGAAACGUCCAUAACAGCUCACGCCUCGCUUGAUUCUAGCUCGUAGUUUCCG